AUUGAACGCUGGCGGCAGGCCUAACACAUGCAAGUCGAGCGGAUGAAGGGAGCUUGCUCCUGGAUUCAGCGGCGGACGGGUGAGUAAUGCCUAGGAAUCUGCCUGGUAGUGGGGGAUAACGUCCGGAAACGGGCGCUAAUACCGCAUACGUCCUGAGGGAGAAAGUGGGGGAUCUUCGGACCUCACGCUAUCAGAUGAGCCUAGGUCGGAUUAGCUAGUUGGUGGGGUAAAGGCCUACCAAGGCGACGAUCCGUAACUGGUCUGAGAGGAUGAUCAGUCACACUGGAACUGAGACACGGUCCAGACUCCUACGGGAGGCAGCAGUGGGGAAUAUUGGACAGAGGGCGAAAGCCUGAUCCAGCCAUGCCGCGUGUGUGAAGAAGGUCUUCGGAUUGUAAAGCACUUUAAGUUGGGGGGAAGGGCAGUAAGUUAAUACCUUGCUGUUUUGACGUUACCAGCAGAAUAAGCACCGGCUAACUUCGUG
rnacentral:rRNA from 1 species